AAAACAUGUCUUUUUGAAAAUAAUAUAAAGUCUAAUCUGCCCACUGAUUAUAAAUUAAAGGGCUGCAGUAUUUUGACUGUACAAAGGUAGCAUAAUCAUUAGUCAUUUAAUUGAUGACUUGUAUGAAAGAUUGGAUGAAAUAUAGACUGUUUCUUAAUUAAUUAUAAAAUUUAAUUUUUUUAUUAAAAAGUUAAAAUAAAUUAAAAAGACGAGAAGACCCUAUAGAGUUUUAUAAAUAAAAAAAUUAAUAUUAUUUAUAAUUAUUAAAGUUAAAAUUUUAUUAUUUAUUUUGUUGGGGUGACAAAAAAAUUUAUAUAACUUUUUUUUUUAGAAAACAUUAAUAAGUGAAUAAAUGAUCCAAUAAUAUUGAUUAAAAGAAAAAAUUACCUUAGGGAUAACAGCGUAAUUUUUUUUUUUAGUUCAAAUAAGAAAAAGAGUUUGCGACCUCGAUGUUGGAUUAAGAUAAAAUUUAAAUGCAGAAGUU
rnacentral:rRNA from 1 species